rnacentral:rRNA from 1 species
AUUGAACGCUGGCGGUAGGCCUAACACAUGCAAGUCGAACGCGAAAGUCCUUCGGAUGAGUAGAGUGGCGGACGGGUGGAGUAACGCGUAGGAAUCUAUCCUGUAGUGGGGGAGUAACGUUUCGAAAGGAACGCUAAUACCGCAUACGCCCCAACGGGGAAAGGCGGGGGAGUCUUCGGACCUCGUGCUAUAGGAGGAGCCUGCGUCGGAUUAGCUAGUUGGUGAGGUAAAGGCUCACCAAGGCGACGAUCCGUAGCUGGUCUGAGAGGAUGAUCAGCCACACCGGAACUGAGACACGGUCCGGACUCCUACGGGAGGCAGCAGUGGGGAAUUUUGGACAAUGGGCGCAAGCCUGAUCCAGCCAUGCCGCGUGCGGGACGAAGGCC